rnacentral:pre_miRNA from 1 species
CGGUGGCACCAACCGGGACUAAAGGGGGGCAUGGGUACCGGUUAGUGGCACCAACAGGGACCAAUGCCCCCCUUUAGUCCCGGUUGGUGCCACCAA